GACGAACGCUGGCGGCGUGCUUAACACAUGCAAGUCGAACGGAAAGGCCCUGCUUUUGUGGGGUGCUCGAGUGGCGAACGGGUGAGUAACACGUGAGUAACCUGCCCUUGACUUUGGGAUAACUUCAGGAAACUGGGGCUAAUACCGGAUAGGAGCUCCUGCUGCAUGGUGGGGGUUGGAAAGUUUCGGCGGUUGGGGAUGGACUCGCGGCUUAUCAGCUUGUUGGUGGGGUAGUGGCUUACCAAGGCUUUGACGGGUAGCCGGCCUGAGAGGGUGACCGGGCACAUUGGGACUGGGGUACCGCCCAGACGCCUACGGGGGGCAGGAGUGGGGAAUAUUGCACGAUGGGCCGAAGGCUGGAGGAGCAACGCCGCGUGGGGGAUGACGGCCUUCAGGUUAUAAACCGCUUUCGCCUGUGACGAAGCGUGAGUGACGGUAAUGGGUAAAAAAGCACCGGCUAACUACGUG
rnacentral:rRNA from 1 species